UAAUAGACAGGCCGUCAUAAGAAUAAGAAUAUGCCUGUGUAUGUAGGCAUAGAUGUAUGCACGUUAAGAACAUACAAGGAUGGUGAUGAAGAAGAGACAGUGAAAGAGUCUAUAGCCAUCGAAGUGAGGAGUAAGUUCAUAGACACAAGAAUGAUAAACACCAGUUCGAAGUCAAUUGUACACGAUAGCUGAAAUACUGUAUCAAGAAGUUGCGGCGAUGAUGCAGAGCUGGUUGUGGUAAAUGUCUUACGUGAAGUUGUGGCUGUGAUGCUGCUGCCUGGGUCACUUGGUACAGGAGUUCUUGCAGAUCUGGUAUCUUUCUAUGUACUCCAUAACAAAUCUAACUGGACAGAUCUCUAGUGAUGUCAGCACUUGAAUAUCCAGAACAUAUUUAUAUAUAAUUUCAUUGGCCAGAUUUUUGCUGAUGAACAUUUUUGCAAUUGGAAAACAAACAAUCCAGCUUCAAAUUGAAGAAUACUUAAUGUAAGAAAUAGAUUAUUUAAUUCCUAUUUAGAAAAUCUUGUUUCCUCUGCCAUACUGGCAUAUUAAAGCUAUUCAAUUUUGAAAUAAAUCUGAUGAUUAUA